UACGUAGGGUGCAAGCGUUGUCCGGAAUUAUUGGGCGUAAAGAGCUCGUAGGCGGUCUGUCGCGUCUGGUGUGAAAAUCCAGGGCUUAACCCUGGACCUGCAUCGGGUACGGGCAGACUAGAGUGCGGUAGGGGAGAUCGGAAUUCCUGGUGUAGCGGUGAAAUGCGCAGAUAUCAGGAGGAACACCGGUGGCGAAGGCGGAUCUCUGGGCCGUAACUGACGCUGAGGAGCGAAAGCAUGGGAGCGAACAGG
rnacentral:rRNA from 1 species